UUUCUUCUUCAUUCGGAGCUUGCAUUUCGCGACGAUAUGGAUUUCUACUGAGAAAAUUGAACUUUCCAUGGUGGAUGUUUGAUUCUGGAGAUGGAGUACUAAUCGAUUCGGUUAUUCCGAGGAGUGGUUUAUGUGCUGCGUGAGAUUCGUGUCGGUCUUGCUUCCGCCGCGGGUUCAUCAAUGAAGUACCGGCAAGCCAUUAACAGAUCAGAUCAAGGUUGUCGACACCAUUUUAGCCAAUGCGACCUUGUUGUCAAGUGAUGCUAAGCCGGAGACCUCAUUGCAAGCGUGCCUGGUAAACUUUUUUGUCCUAGUUCAUAUUUUUUUGCCAACAUUUUUGAUAGAUAAAAUACCUUAACCACACUAGAAGAUAUGCAUGAUAAUUUGGUUAUACAUAGUAACUUGAUAUAUUAUAAUAAUGCAUUUAACUCAUUAAAGGAUCUACAGUAUAGUUUUGACUGUCAAAAUAUUAAGAGUUAGACUUUUCCUUAGAAUAAAUGCCUUGGAUCAACAUUAGAAUUUAGGCCCUAUAUAUUUUAAUUUGAAAAUGUUUAAUGGAACAAUAUUUUUAAAUGGGAAAAAAAUGCGUUACAUUACUAAUAAUAUAUGAUUUAUUAAUAAUAAUAAUAAUAAAUAGAUAAACACUACCUCUAUUAGGUUUGGGUAAUACUAGUAUUAUUCAUUAAAUAUUCGUACCGCUCCAUAUUCAACGGCCGGCAUAGUGUAUAGUUUAAUUCAAAAAUAAAUAAAUCACAUUGCACGCGUAUUUCUUAUUUGUAUUUCUUAUUAUUAUUAUUAUUAUUAUUUGUUGAUGUUAUGUUAAAUUCCUCAGUUCUAACUUUAAUUUUUUUUAAUAAUUAAAAAAUACCAUAAUUUUAGUUUUUAUAUUAGUGAUUACUGAUAAAUUAUUAUGAAAAUUAAUAUAUUUAUAGAUAUUGUUACUAUCGUAUAAAUAUAAAAUUAAACACAAAAAGAAAACCCGUUGCUUAUUCCAAAUUUCCAAAUGGUAAAUGCAUAUCUUUAUUCAAUUGGAAAAAAAGAAAAGUAGGUUUAGGGUAUAAAAAAGUAAACCUUAGUGAAAAAGUAUUUUAGUACUUUCCUAAAUCUUUACCUUCCCUUCUCUAAACCAUUUGACACGCAAUUAUCUGAAACUUCCGACGAAUUUUCUUCUCCUCGAUUUAUCUGUCAAAAUUUGUUAAAUCCCUAACCGAAACGAAUCGAGCAAGAUAAGAAAAUUCGCGGACUUCCUCCAUCCUCGUCUGCUCCGAUCUCCCAUCAAUUCCGGUAUGUCGAUCCCUCUGCUCUUCCUGAUCUUACUCUCAGCCGCCUCACGCGCCGCCGCCGAGAUCCGAUUCACGGAGCUCCGGUCGGACACCCGCCAGAUCAUCCCCGUGGAUGAAUUUGGCUUCACUCACCGUGGCCAGCUGGAACUGAACCUCACCCAGCUCUCUCUUACCGGGACGAAUCCGAACCCAUCGGCGCUCUCCAAGGUAGGGUUCUUCCUGGUCACAAUGGAUGCGUGGAUUCACGUGCUCCAGCAGAUUGAGGAGAGGGAUAUUGACUGCGUGCUCUCAUCCUCCGCGGUGAAGGUUGUGUUCACCUUCGAUCGUCUCCCUACUCCCGUCCCUUCCGAUUACAAUGUUCUGUACAGUGAAACAACCGCAGAUCAGUACACCCUCUUGUUCGCCAACUGCUUCCCGCAGCUCGCCGUCACGAUGAAGGUUCGAUCGGCGAUGUACAACUUGGAGGACGGCAAGUCAAACAAUCGAGAUUAUCUGUCCGCGGGUAAAACUGUUCUGCCUAGGGUUUAUUUCUUCUUCUCCAUGGUUUAUUUCGUGUUGGCCGCUACCUGGAUCUAUGUUCUAUACAAGAAGAGGCUUACCAUUUUUAGGAUUCACUUCUUCAUGUUGGCUGUUGUGCUGUUGAAAAUGUUGAAUUUGUUGUGUGAAGCUGAGGACAAAUCGUAUAUUAAGCGCACUGGAUCGGCGCACGGCUGGGAUGUCUUGUUUUACAUAUUUAGUUUCCUCAAGGGGAUCAUGUUGUUCACUUUGAUUGUAUUGAUCGGGACUGGAUGGUCGUUCCUGAAGCCGUAUUUGCAGGAUAAAGAAAAGAAGGUUCUGAUGAUUGUGAUCCCACUUCAGGUGGUUGCUAACAUAGCCCAGGUUGUCAUCGACGAGAAAGGACAAAUUGCGCAGGAUUGGGUUACUUGGAAGCAAGUGUUCUUGCUAGUGGAUGUGAUUUGCUGCUGUGCAGUGCUUUUCCCCAUUGUCUGGUCAAUCAAGAACUUGCGGGAGGCUGCCAAGACCGAUGGGAAGGCCGCGGUGAAUUUGAUGAAGUUGACUCUGUUUAGGCAGUAUUAUAUUGUGGUGAUUUGCUACAUUUAUUUCACCCGGGUUGUGGUUUACGCGCUGGAGACUAUUACGUCUUACAGAUAUCUCUGGACUAGCAUCGUUGCAGGGGAGUUAGCUACAUUAGGGUUCUAUGUUUUUACUGGAUACAAAUUCAAGCCUGAGGCCCAUAACCCGUAUUUCGUGCUGGAUGAUGAAGAGGAAGAGGCUGCUGCUGAGCAAUUGAAGCUUGAAGAUGAGUUUGAAUUGUAAGGUGCUGCCUUAAUGUUGGAUAAGAAUGAGAUUCACCAUCACCGAUGGAUUUCCGGUGUGCGCAGCCGUGGAGAUGCAGAAGAACCGACGGCAAGAAAUGGAGGUGUUCCAGGGACGCGGCGCCGCCGGACCACAAGUACUGCCACCGCCACGCUCCGAAGGCCAAAAUCAACAAACCGCCACGUUCAAGAAAGCAUGUGGAAACCAGUAAUUACAAUUACUACAACAACAACAAUAAUAUCAUCAUCAAUCGCCAUCUCCGACCACAAGAACACCUCAGCCACAUGUGCUUCGACUGGACACUAACACAAUCACAGUCACAAUCGGAAUUUCUAAUCGACGGCGGAGAUAAGAUCGAUGUUGCCCUGAAUCCGUACGACGUCGAUAUCGUUCCAGACGUCGUUAUUCCCGUUAUCGAAAACCAUAAUCGAUUUUGGAAUCCAUUAUUAUAUAAUAUGGAAUCCCUCCAAACCAGCGUUGAAUUCACACCGGCCGUCUCCGGCCAGAGCGGUGCCCCGCCGGCGGAGAUGAACUCCGAUGGGUUUAUGGAAGCUUCAGCGUCAAUCAUUCCCGGCGGCCCAUUGGCUGAGGCUCUGUAUAUGGGAAAAACUAAAGCUACCUGUGGUGGUUGAAAUUCUGUGUCACCGCAGCGCAGCCAGCUCGCGAUUUCAUUGGACGGUGAUGACAGCUAAUGUGAUGUUAACACUCCUUUUUUAGUCAUUUUAACGUUUCAAUUUGGCAUGUUAAUCUUUAUUAUAAUAUAAUAAUAAUUAAAAAUAAUAGAAAUUCUAGUACUAGGACUUAUUAAUUUAAAGCAUUUGCUGUCACUUUCUGCCUAUUUUUUCUUCCGCUUCUGUUAGAAUAUAAAUGCCAAUUUACUUCAAUGUCUAUAGAUUUAGCAUCU